CAUCUACAGUUAAAAAUUUGAUGCUGUUGUAUUAUUGGACGUGCUAAGUAUAUACAAAAUUUUGUAAUAAUCUAAUGGUGUGAUUUAGAGAUAUCUAGUUUUUAAUACAAGAGGGUUUUGGAAGGUGGCAAUUUAAGGUUGAGUAGGGUUUCUAUGAUAUCUAAAGAUCUAUUAGUUGGAUUAAGAUGAAAAUUGGUAUGGUAUUGAAGGACUUAAAGAUCAACCUAUACACUAAUUUUGAAAGAAAGUUAAUGGUUGAAAAGAGAGAAAUUACUACUAGAAUUUUUGCUUCACUUUUCAAGUU
rnacentral:lncRNA from 1 species